rnacentral:rRNA from 1 species
ACGGUGAGUAACACGUAUCAACCUGCCGCUUACUCGGGGUAGACCUUCGAAAGAAAGAUUAAUACCGAUGGUAUAAAGAGUUCGCAUGUUCUCUUAUUAAAGAAUUUCGGUAAGCGAUGGGAUGCGUUCCAUUAGAUAGUUGGCGGGGUAACGGCCCGACCAAGUCUACGAUGGAUAGGGGUUCUGAGAGGAAGGUCCCCACAUUGGAACUGAGACACGGUCCAAACUCCUACGGGAGGCAGCAGUGAGGAAUAUUGGUCAAUGGACGAGAGUCUGAACCAGCCAAAAGUAGCGUGAAGGAUGACUGCCCUAUGGGUUGUAAACUUCUUUUAUAAGGGAAUAAAGUGAGGGACGUGUCCCUUUUUGUAUGUACCUUAUGAAUAAGGAUCGGCUAACUCCGUGCCAGCCGCUGC